GGACGCUAUGCUAAUCCUCCCAGCUGUGAUACUAAUGACUAGCGGAUUAGCGAGAUAAGGGUGUGUGUGUGUGUGUGUGUAGUGUGUGUGUGUAUUGUGUGUGUGUAGUGCGUGUGUAAUGUGUAGUGUGUGUGUGUGUGUGUGUGUGUGUGUGUAGUGUGUAGUGUUUGUCUCAGCUUUCCCACAGACCAACAGCUGGGAGUUGACCUGUAGCGAGGUUGUCAAGAUGAUGACGGAGGCUUCCCAACAUUCCAGAGAGGCGGGAAGUAAACCAUGUGCUCCUGUCAAUCAUCGAGUCAGGAAGUUAAAAAGAAGGAAAAAAAAACACACAGGAGUUUCUCAGGGAAGUUUUAUUGGGCUUUAUAAGUUGAAAUACAAAAUGCCACAUUAUGAAAAGAAAAACAGUUUCAUUAAAAUUUGCCAAGAAACAGAGUUACAUAGAAAAAAAAACAAAGCAAGGCACCGCCACAACCCAAUCGGAUUCCCCCUUUGUGCUCACGGGCCAAUAGCAGCGCGCAGCCACGAUAUUAGACUACUCAAGAGGUUCAAGACAGGCGAGUGUUUUCAUCAGUAAAGAGUUCGUGCUCCUCGUCAUCAAGAAAGACGUGUAUUACGUCACAGAAACACGUGGUCCAGAUCAUCACGUUUUUUUAAAUCUCAACCUCUGUAUCGCAACCAGUUCUAAACUAUGGUUCUAACCAGUUCUAAACUAUGGUUCCGUGGUUCUAGCCAGUUCUAACCAGUUCUAAACUAUGGUUCCAUGGUUCUAGCCAGUUCUAACCAGUUCUAAACUCUGGUUCUAGCCAGUUCUAACCAGUUCUAAACUCUGGUUCCAUAGUUUUAGCCAGUUCUAAAUUCUGGUUCCAUGGUUCUAGCCAGUUCUAACCAGUUCUAAACUAUGGUUCCAUGGUUCUAGCCAGUUCUAACCAGUUCUCAACUAUGGUUCCAUGGUUCUAGCCAGUUCUAACCAGUUCUAAACUAUGGUUCUAGCCAGUUCUAAAUUCUGGUUCCAUGGUUCUAGCCAGUUCUAACCAGUUCUAAACUAUGGUUCCAUGGUUCUAGCCAGUUCUAACCAGUUCUCAACUAUGGUUCCAUGGUUCUAGCCAGUUCUAACCAGUUCUCAACUAUGGUUCCAUGGUUCUAACUAGUUCUAAACUCUGGUUCUAUGGUUCUAGCCAGUUAUAAACUCUGGUUCCAUGGUUCUAGCCAGUUGGAACCAGUUCUCAACUAUGGUUCCAUGGUUCUAGCCAGUUAUUAUUAUAAUCAUUAUAGCCAGUCAGUGUGACUCAGUUAGACGGUGUUGGACUCUCCAGUUUAGUAGCAGCCAGAGGAAGAGAUGGUUUAGAAACAUUAUGGCUCUGUCCCAAAUGGCGCCCUUUUCCCCUGUAAUCCACAAAUUCAACUCUGGCCCUGGAAGACAGUUCCGCUGUUUUUAUUCAUUCUUCCCCUCUAAAUCAGGGCCUGAUUUAGACCUGGGACAACAAGUGGGUGAUAUCCCCUCUAAAUCAGGGCCUGAUUUAGACCUGGGACAACACGUUGGUGAUAUCCCCUCUAAAUCAGGGCCUGAUUUAGACCUGGGACAACACGUGGGUGAUAUUCCCCUCUAAAUCAGGGCCUGAUUUAGACCUGGGACAACACGUGGGUGAUUCCCCUCUAAAUCAGGGCCUGAUUUAGACCUGGGACAACAGGUGGGUGUAAAUAAUGAUCAGCCAGAACAGAGAACCAAUGGGCUCUUGACCUCAUAGGGAUCCAAUCUGAAUACCCGUACCCUAUACAGUGCACUACUUUUGCCCUCGCUGGUGAAAUGGGCCGUCCCUGGUCUAAAGGUCAUAAUGCCCUGUACAGGGGCUAGGGAUUAUGGUGCUAUUUGGGAUACAGACUUUGUCUCUGAGAGUUCAGACAGGUGAGAAACGUCCUGUCUCUGAGAGGGUUAAUGAGUUCAGACAGGUGAGAAAUUUCCAGUUAGGGGGUUUCCAGUAUUAGCCCCAUAUAGCCCCUAUAUUUAGCCCCAUAUAGCCCCUAUAUUUAGCCCCAUAUAGCCCCUAUAUUUAGCCCCAUAUAGACCCUAUAUUUAGCCCCAUAUAGCCCCUAUAUUUAGCCCCAUAUAGCCCCUAUAUUUAGCCCUAUAUAGCCGCUAUAUUUAGCCCCAUAUAGCCUCUAUAUUUAGCCCCAUAUAGCCCCUAUAUUUAGCCCCUUAUAGCCCCUAUAUUUAGCCUCAUAUAGCCCCUAUAUUUAGCCCCAUAUAGCCCCUAUAUUUAGCCCCAUAUAGCCCCUAUAUUUAGCCCCAUAUAGCCCCUAUAUUUAGCCCCAUAUUAACUGUAAAGUGUAUAACUUUAAAGUGUAUAACUGUAAACUGUAUAACUGUAAAAUGUAGUAUAACUGUAAACUGUAUAACUGUAAAGUGUAUAACUGUAAAGUGUGAGUGUUAACUGUAAAGUGUGAGUGUUAACUGUAAAGUGUAUAACUGUAAAGUGUAUAACUGUAAACUGUAUAACUGUAAAGUGUAGUAUAACUGUAAAGUGUAUAACUGUAAAGUGUGAGUGUUAACUGUAAAGUGUAUAACUGUAAAGUGUGAGUGUUAACUGUAAAGUGUAUAACUGUAAACUGUAUAACUGUAAAGUGUGAGUGUUUUCAUUUUUUAAAUAGAAUUUUACAAUGACAACACACGUAAACAAAGACCCCAAACAGACCCCUAACGUUACCAAACACCAAUGACAUCACUUCCGCUCAGACCCACAUGUUCCCACUGCUACUAUACACGUCCCAUAUGUCUCCCUCCCUCCCUCCCCACCCACCCAC
rnacentral:lncRNA from 1 species